UACAGAGGGUGCAAGCGUUAAUCGGAAUUACUGGGCGUAAAGCGAGCGUAGUCGGUUAUUUAAGUCGGAUGUGAAAUCCCCGGGCUCAACCUGGGAAUUGCAUUCGAUACUGGAUAGCUAGAGUUCGGCAGAGGGAAGCGGAAUUUCGGGUGUAGCGGUGAAAUGCGUAGAUAUCCGAAGGAACAUCAGUGGCGAAAGCGGCUUCCUGGACCAGAACUGACGAUCAGCUCGAAAGCGUGGGGAGCAAACAGG
rnacentral:rRNA from 1 species